rnacentral:tRNA from 1 species
GUUACUGUAGCUUAAACUCAAAGCACGGCACUGAAGCUGCCACGAUGGCCUUCAACCCCCCCCAGCAACA